UAUGUGAUCGUCUCUCGCAUAUCAAUAAGCGGAGGAAAAGAAACUAACAAGGAUUCCCCUAGUAACGGCGAGUGAAGCGGGAAGAGCUCAAAUUUGAAAUCUUAAAGGGUUUCCCUUUACGAAUUGUAGUUUAAAGAAGUGUUUUCUGUUGAGGUUUUGGUAAAAGUUCUUUGGAAUAGGACAUCAUAGAGGGUGAGAAUCCCGUAUUUGACCUUUACUUUCAACUUUGUGAUACACUUUCAAAGAGUCGGAUUGUUUGGGAAUGCAGUCCAAAAUGGGUGGUAAAUUUCAUCUAAAGCUAAAUAUUGGCGAGAGACCGAUAGCGAACAAGUACCGUGAGGGAAAGAUGAAAAGAACUUUGAAAAGAGAGUUAAACAGUACGUGAAAUUGUCAAAAGGGAAGCGUUUGACACCAGUGUUGUUUUUCUGAAAAUCAAUUAAAGAACUGUUUAUGCUAAGCUGUUUAGACUUUAUCAGCUAUCUGUUUAGUUUUGAGCUUUUCUUUAAUGCACUUUUCAGUUAACAAGUCAACAUCAAUUUCUUUUGCUGUAAAAAAGCUUGAGGAAGGUGGCUUGAGAUUCGUCUUAAGUGUUUAUAGCCUCUUGCCUAUGCAGUCGGAGAGAUUGAGGUCUGCAGCGUAGAUCCUUCGGGGCUAGAUGCAUUUGUGCUAAGUUAUAGCAUUUUAUAGACAACUUGUUGACUAUGAUUUGUCUUGUAGCUUACUCGCUUAUGUUAUUUUACCUACGCUUAGGAUGUUGAGUAGCGACAUACGCAC
rnacentral:rRNA from 1 species